rnacentral:misc_RNA from 1 species
GAAAUGCGAUAAGUAAUGUGAAUUGUAGAAUUCAGUGAAUCAUCGAAUCUUUGAACGCACAUUGCGCCCCCUGGUAUUCCGGGGGGCAUGCCUGUUCGAGCGUCAUUUCACCACUCAAGCCUCGCUUGGUAUUGGGCGACGCGGUCCGCCGCGCGCCUCAAAUCGACCGGCUGGGUCUUCCGUCCCCUCAGCGUUGUGGAAACUAUUCGCUAAAGGGUGCCGCGGGAGGUCACGCCGCAAAACAACCCCAUUUCUAAGGUUGACCUCGGAUCAGGUAGGGAUACCCGCUGAACUUAAGC